UACGUAGGGGGGCAAGCGUUGUCCGGAAUCAUUGGGCGUAAAGAGCGUGUAGGCGGUUCAGUAAGUCUGCUGUGAAAGUCCAGGGCUCAACCCUGGGAUGCCGGUGGAUACUGCUGGGCUAGAGUACGGAAGAGGCGAGUGGAAUUCCCGGUGUAGCGGUGAAAUGCGCAGAUAUCGGGAGGAACACCUAUUGCGAAGGCAGCUCGCUGGGACGGUACUGACGCUGAGACGCGAAAGCGUGGGGAGCGAACAGG
rnacentral:rRNA from 1 species